rnacentral:lncRNA from 1 species
GGAAUUUAUGUGUAAGCUCAUAAGAGUUUGAAAGAACAAUUAUUAAAAGGUAGAUUUUGAAAAGAAGUUGCAUUUUUACAAAUAUAUGAGAAUGAAAAGGAAAGGGUCUUAGGUUUAUUUCUAAUAUGGAUCACAUUAUCGCGAUAUCCGGUACGACACUCCUUAAAAGAGGGGAUACACGUGGUAUUAUCACAACGAUCAUCAUAUCCAUAUCUACCCUUCCCACACUGUCGAAGUAUUAUAUCGCGGAUGGAACUCGACCACUAUUGCAUGCUAUUACUCGUCCCGUUCCUAUCAGUCCUAGAGUAACUUAGGACUACUUUUCCUAAAGGGGAGGUAUAUUGGGUUGACUUUUAGGUUUUAAACGGUGAAAAAGCUAAGGCGACAUAGAAAAAUACAUAGGAAGACACAUUAGGGGAAAACAUGUAAACAACUAAAAGGCUCAUGUAUACCUCAUCAAGCAAAGCACAUAAAUAGCAUGACUUAAAC